AAUGAACGUUGGCGGCGUGGAUUAGGCAUGCAAGUCGAACGAGAUCUGUAGCAAUACAGUGAAAGUGGCGAAAGGGAGAGUAAUACGUAGGUACCUGCCCUCGGGUCUGGGAUAGCUGCGGGAAACUGCAAUUAAUACCGGAUGACGUCUCUGGACCAAAGGUGUGAUUCCGCCAGGGGAUGGGCCUGCGUCCUAUCAGCUAGUUGGUGUGGUAAUGGCGCACCAAGGCUAAGACGGGUACGGGGUGUGAGAGCAUGCCCCCGCUCACUGGGACUGAGAUACUGCCCAGACACCUACGGGUGGCUGCAGUCGAGAAUCUUCCGCAAUGGGCGAAAGCCUGACGGAGCGACGCCGCGUGUGGGAUGAAGGCCUUCGGGUUGUAAACCACUGUCAGUGGGGAGCAAAUGCAUCAGGGUUCUCCCUGGUGUUUGAGCGAUCCGCAGAGGAAGCACAGGCUAAUUCCGUGCCAGCCGCCGCGGUAACAC
rnacentral:rRNA from 1 species